rnacentral:rRNA from 1 species
CAGCCGUAAACAAUGUGCGUUAGGUGUGUCGGUAACCACGUGUUACUGAUGCGCCGAAGAGAAAUCGUGAAACGCACCACCUGGGAAGUACGGUCGCAAGGCUGAAACUUAAAGGAAUUGGGCGGGGGGAGCACCACAACAGGUGGAGCCUGCGGUUUAAUUGGAUUCAACGCCGGACAUCUCACCGGAUAAGGCAGCUGAAUGAUUGUCAAUCUGAAGGUUUUACAUGACUAGCUGAGAGGAGGUGCAUGGCGUCAGUGACU